UACAGAGGGUGCGAGCGUUAAUCGGAAUUACUGGGCGUAAAGCGCACGUAGGCGGCUUGGUAUGUCGGGUGUGAAAUCCCCGGGCUCAACCUGGGAACUGCAUCCGAAACUGCCUUGCUAGAGUAUGGGAGAGGGAAGUGGAAUUUCCGGUGUAGCGGUGAAAUGCGUAGAUAUCGGAAGGAACAUCAGUGGCGAAGGCGACUACCUGGCCUGUUUCUUGACGCUGAGGCGCGAAAAGCUAGGGGAGCGAACAGG
rnacentral:rRNA from 1 species